CGCGUAGGCGGGCCCGCAAGUCGAUCGUGAAAUCCUUCGGCUCAACUGAAGGGGGUCGGUCGAUACUGCGGGUCUUGAGGGAUGCAGAGGAGACUGGAAUUCCCGGUGUAGCGGUGAAAUGUGUAGAGAUCGGGAGGAACACCGGUGGCGAAGGCGGGUCUCUGGGCAUCUCCUGACGCUGAGGCGCGAAAGCGUGGGGAGCAAACG
rnacentral:rRNA from 1 species